rnacentral:lncRNA from 1 species
CCUCGUUAGGUUAUUCAUAUAGGAGAAAAAUACUGUUUGUGAAUCAAAGCAGGUCAGUCUUGAUUGUUGCACUGAUUUUUCUUUAAUUGUAAUUUAGAUUAGAAUAGUCAAACAACUCAAUUUUAAACAUUUACAACUACUGAAUAUAUUAGGUGUGAAAGGAAACCAGCCACAAUUCUUAACACAGUGAAUGGCUGCACUCACUCAUGAAGGGUGUGAUCUUGUACAAAUCACCAGAUCUCUCUCUCAGCCUUAAUUUCCUCAUCUUCGAUAUGGAAAUCCUGGAUUUCACUAGGUGAAAUCUUGGCUUGUCUGGAAAUUCAAACUUCUUCCACCUACUUUACCACAUAAAACAUUUCCAAAUUAUGACAAUCUUCCUCCCAAAUCAUUAGCUCUCCACCCUUAACUUCUCCAAACUUGUUGAUUCCUCCUUUUUUCUGCUGUCUCUUCUGCCUGCUAAGUCUGGCCUAUCUUAAAUUCUUCAUUCAAAGAAUUUAAAUCAAAGUGUUUUAUCUGGCAAAUAUUUAAUUUUUAAAUUUCUGGUUGGUGGCAUCCUAGGUACUCAAAAUUCCCAGAGCCUGGAAAGUAGACACAGGUUCAUCUAAACUAGAGAACUUGUUAAUUCCCAGAAGCUAAGGGCCCCUCCACCAGGUAUCUGCAAAUAAAAAAAAAAUUAAUGAUAUUAGGAGUGGAGUGUGGACAUAGAAGGAAGUUUUAUUCUCUAUGAUUGGUAGAAAGACAAACUCUGCAAUCCAUUAGACUUAGAUUCGAAUCCCAGUUCUGCUAUUUACUAUGUGACUAGUAAGCUUUAUAAAAAUUAAUUAAUACCCACUUUACAGGAUUGUUGCAUUAGAUUUAAAUAAAAUAAUUACAAUAUGAAUAAAAUAAUUAAAUAAGCUAAAAUAUUGAACAGGAAGUAGAUUCCUCAUAAUUGAUAGCUAGAACAGACUUUCAGCUCUGAUCAACAGAAAGCAGAAGUUCCUGCCCAGAUCUCUAGGCAAGACAGAGAUGUUCAGAGUAGGAUUGGACUUUCCCAAAAAUUUCAUCUAAAAUAUCACCCAAAGGUAUUUUCAGUCAUUGAUAAAUUAAGUCAUCAAAUUGUUUCCAGGGAUGAAUACAGCAAUAGACAGAUGUAAUAACCAACCUCAUAAAAAAUAAUCUAAGCCUUUUCAUUGGAAGAAUUUAAAUCAAAGUGUUUUAUCUGGCGAAUAUUUAAUUUUUAAAUUUCAGUUAGAAUAGCCUAACCUGAUAACAGAUGCACCCACAAGUUGACCAUCUAUACUAGGUGUAAAAAGAAACCAGCUGUAAAUUUUAAUGUAGCGAAUGGUGUAAAGAAAUGUGCAAACCGAUCCAAAUGUUUAUCAACCAUGGAUUCCUCUGGGACUCAGUGCCCUGACUUCAUGUUUUUUUUAAAAAACGUAGAGUCAAGCUUUGUUCAUACUUGAAUUAUGUACUUUGCAUAAGCCAUGUAAUUUAACUUUAACCCAUAGAACCGAAAAUAAAAUUAGCUCAGCAUGCAGAACAAGGAGACGGAGAGCAAGUAAGGACGUUAAUCAAAGUGAAAGACUCAACCCUCGCUGCUGGCUAGCUCUGUCCUCCAGCUUGCUCUUGCCAGAUUAUUUUGGAUACCUUGUGCUUGACUCGUCAGAGUGGCAGAAGCAGGCUCAAAUGUUCACUGGGGAAAAGGGAUUUGUCUUUUAAGUUAAUGUCUGUGCUUACGCCCCGAGGAGGUUAAUGAGGUGCACGAAAUUUUUAAAAAUCAUAAGCGAAUGCAUAUCUUUGCCACUUGUAAUCAUGACAAAGCUGAAGUAAUUUAGGUAGGUGUGAGCAUUUUUUUUAAGUACAAAACAGGAUUUACUAGUCGAGAAUAUCUGCCUAAGCAAGCUCGUCCCUCUGAAUAUUUUCAGCCAUAGUACGUGUUUGUUUAACCCUAGCAGGUUUGGCAAACAUACCAGAUGUGCUGGCUGAGUGUUUUGGAACAUCACAAAAUAAACCAAUGUAUGGCUUUUCAGCUCGUUUUGACCAAGGAGAGAUAGGGAACCCCACGGGAGGUUUGGAAAUGGCUUGCCCUGGCACCUACUUUAUAAGUGCCAGUAGGAGACCAGACCACCCUUCCCUAUAAAAGGACAUAACACCAUACACCUCUCCAGGGAGCUUGAUAUGGAUUACUGUCAUUGUCACUGUCAUUUAUUAUCCCAGACAGAGGAAGCAGCGACUUAGUUCAAUGUGGUCAGAUUCCAUAAUUGUGAAUAUUUAGCCUACAUAAUAAUAAUAAUCUGUGAAUGUUUAACAUGAAGGUCUAGCUUUCAAAUGUCCUUAAUGGAGACGUUCUCAACGGAUACUGAGUGGCAAAUACCUAGGUGUUUGCCAACCUCCUCCUCAAAGGACCCUGCUUUAUAGAUGGCCUUCUAUGAAACCCGUGGCUUGUAACUCAGUGUGAUAGUCUCUCUGAAUUCUUGGCCCCCAUGGUAAAGGAGGAACUGGCCUAAGGACACUCCAUCCUAAUUUUCUGUCGCUGUCACUGUUAGCCAGAGCUCAUAGAGCUAUGAUGUGGGGGUGGGGAAGAUGGCUCCACCAUUGGUGUUAGAUCAGGAGCUACUGUGUUCAUUAGAGCCACAUUUAUUUCUGGAGUAGUUGUGAGAGAGAUGUGCUCCAAGGAGAAGAGGACUUGCUGUAGCUCAGGUAUGACCUACCACGGGAACAACCGAACUCAGAGACUAAAGUGCAAGGGCUAGAGGUGGGCAGGGUACUUUCCACUCAUUCAGCUAAAAAUCACUUCUGUUCUGGUGAAGGAGAUAGGAAGUGAGCUAGAAACAAAAGAUCCAGUUGUGAAACCUAGUACCUAUGUUGAGAUGUCCAAAUGCCCUCUCUCCUUUAAGAAAUUCUGGGGAACUUGAAUGUUUGGUUCACCUGAUUAUUUUCAGCCAUUUCUUACAGAAGAGAGAGGCGCUGGAAAACGAGCAACCUCAGAAAAUACCAAUUCAUUUUUUGCACGUGUUAAAAUUAAUUAACAUUAGCAUAUGCAGUGAUGCAAUAGGCAAUUAAUGACUUUGGGGGAGAUAAGAAGACAAAAAAUGUAAAUAUUCCAUAUUCAAAAUCCAUUUCAUAGCAUUUUAUAAAAAUGUUGGCUUAUAUCCAGGUUCUAAGGGUGGGGGUGGGUAUGGCUUCUUUGUAACUAAAGAAACAGAGUGGAAAAGAACAUGUUCUGUUUCCUUAAAAUAAAUGACUGCUUGUUUUACAUAGCAUGGUAAAUGAAAUGCUUUUUCUGUUUUGUUUUGUUUUUUACCUGCCGGCACAAUCUGGAGAAAAUUCUUCUAGCAAGCUACGCUGUUUUCCUCUUUGGGGACAUGGUGACACUGGUUUUGUAGCAAAAUAGUAUUUGCUUAUUAGGCAUUUCUUAAAAAUCCUGAAUAAGCAGCUCUUUCAAUAGUUUUUGUUCCACAUGUUAAACAUUUCAUUGCAAUUUGAGCUUCAAUUUUGUGUGUGUGUGUGUGUGUGUGUGUUGAUAGGAAGCAAUGAAAGGGGAUGUGCAUAAGAAUUCUCGAAGGUUUUUUUUUAUUAAAAAAAUUAAUUCUUCACAAUUCUGUAUUGGUGUCUCUGCAGAAAGUGAUGCCAAUUUAUUACAUACAGCCAAACUAGGUCCCAUCAAUCUUGAGCAGUGGGGGUAGGGAGGUGUAUUGAAGAAGACAUGAAAUUUGGUGUUUGAGUAGAUGAGAUUUAAUUUUCGGGAAACAUUUCACUCAUAAAACGGAUAGCAACCCAGCGUCGGCCCUGACCUGAUGUCAAU